rnacentral:rRNA from 1 species
UACAGAGGGUGCAAGCGUUGUUCGGAAUCAUUGGGCGUAAAGGGCGUGUAGGCGGUUUGUUAAGUCAUGUGUGAAAUCCCUCGGCUCAACCGGGGAACGACGCAUGAAACUGGCAAGCUAGAGUACCAAAGAGGGUGGUGGAAUUCCCGGGUGUAGCGGUGAAAUGCGUAGAUAUCGGGAGGAAUACCAGUGGCGAAGGCGCUGACCUGGACGAAGAUUGACGCUGAGGUGCGAAAGCGUGGGGAGCAACAGGA